rnacentral:rRNA from 1 species
AACGAACGCUGGCGGCAUGCCUAACACAUGCAAGUCGAACGAGACCUUCGGGUCUAGUGGCGCACGGGUGCGUAACACGUGGGAAUUUGCCUCGGGGUAUGGAAUAACUCAGGGAAACUUGAGCUAAUACCAUAUAAUGUCUUCGGACCAAAGAUUUAUCGCCCUGAGAUAAGCCCGCGUAGGAUUAGCUAGUUGGUGGGGUAAAGGCUCACCAAGGCGACGAUCCUUAGCUGGUCUGAGAGGAUGAUCAGCCACACUGGGACUGAGACACGGCCCAGACUCCUACGGAGGCAGCAGUGGGGAAUAUUGGACAAUGGGCGAAAGACCUGAUCCAGCAAUGCCGCGUGAGUGAUGAAGGCCUCGGUUG